AAGUCGUAACAAGGUUUCCGUAGGUGAACCUGCGGAAGGAUCAUUAAUGAUUUUAAAGCGAGUCGAGCGUUAAGCGAGGCUUGCGAAAAUAUUUAAAACCCCACUCUUUUUAACUUUAAAAAAAAAUAAAUCAUGAUACAUGAAUUUAAAAAAAAGAUCACUUUCAACAACGGAUCUCUUGGCUCUC
rnacentral:misc_RNA from 1 species